rnacentral:misc_RNA from 1 species
AAGUCGUAACAAGGUUUCCGUAGGUGAACCUGCGGAAGGAUCAUUACCUUUCAAUGCAGCAGAAUUGGGAUGGUUGAGUAUCUCGCCUCUCCGUUCUGCCUGUAUUCUACCCUUGUUUGUCAUAUACUAUUAUUUCCUCGGCAGGCUUGCCUGCCGAGUGAAACCAUUUAUAACCUUUUUAAUUUUCAAUCAGCGUCUGAAAAAAAUUAGUAAUUACAACUUUCAACAACGGAUCUCUUGGUUCUG